UUAAGGAAGCAAGGGCAUACGGUGGAUGCCUAGGCGCUAAGAGCCGAAGAAGGACGUGGUAAGCUGCGAAAAGCUACGUGGAGUCGCAAGCAGACAGCGAAACGUAGAUAUCCGAAUGGGAAAACCCUGCUGGAGUAAUAUCCAGUAAUCCCAUGCUGAACAAAAUAGGCAUGUGGAAGGCAACCCGGAGAACUGAAACAUCUAAGUACCCGGAGGAAAAGAAAGAAAACUCGAUUCCCCCAGUAGCGGCGAGCGAAAAGGGAAAAGCCCAAACCGGAGCAAUCCGGGGUUAGGACAUUCAAAAAGUAUCAGAGCCUAGUCGAAUGGUGUGGGAAAAUCAGCCAAAGAAGGUGAGAGCCCUGUAGACGAAAGGUAAAGAUAUGGGAAUGAAUCCAGAGUAGCACGGAGCACGAGGAAUUCCGUGUGAAAGAGCGGGGACCACCCCGUAAGGCUAAAUACUCCUUAGCGACCGAUAGAGAACAAGUACCGUGAGGGAAAGGUGAAAAGCACCUCGGAAGAGGAGUGAAAAAGAACCUGAAACCGUAUGCUUACAAUCAGUCACAGCCCUUAGGGGUAGUGGCGUACUUUUUGUAGAACGGACCAGCGAGUUACAUAUACUAGCAAGGUUAAGAAAUACGGAGCCAAAGCGAAAGCGAGUCUGAAAAGGGCGAUAAGUUAGUGUGUGUAGACCCGAAACCAGGUGAUCUACCCAUGAGCAGGUUGAAGCGUUAGUAAAAUAACGUGGAGGACCGAACCAGGACACGUUGAAAAGUGUUUGGAUGACUUGUGGGUAGGGGUGAAAUUCCAAUCGAACCUGGAGAUAGCUGGUUCUCCUCGAAAUAGCUUUAGGGCUAGCCUCGUAGAGAGAUAUAUGGAGGUAGAGCACUGAAUGGGUGCGGGGGCUUCACCGCCUACCAAAUCUUAUCAAACUCCGAAUGCCAUAUAUCAUGUACGGGAGUCAGACUAUGGGGGAUAAGCUUCAUAGUCAAAAGGGAAAGAGCCCAGACCGCCGUCUAAGGUCCCCAAGUGAUUGUUAAGUGGAAAAGGAUGUGAAACCGCAGAGACAACCAGGAUGUUGGCUUAGAAGCAGCCAUCAUUAUAAAGAGUGCGUAAUAGCUCACUGGUCCAGGGGUUUUGCGCCGAAAAUGUAACGGGGCUCAAACAAUACACCGAAGACGCGGAAUGACAUAUAAAUGUCAUUGGUAGAGGAGCGAUCCAUAGAGGGCGAAGCCCAAGUGAAAACGAAGGUGGACAAUAUGGAAGAGAGAAUGCUGGUAUAAGUACACGAUAAAAGAGGUGAGAAUCUUCUUCGCCGAAAAUCUAAGGAUUCCUGGGGAAGGCUCGUCCGCCCAGGGUAAGUCGGGACCUAAGGCAAGGCCGAAAGGCGUAGUCGAUGGAAAACAGGUAGAAAUUCCUGUACCACCGAAAGCCGUUAAGAGAGAAGCAAUGACGCAGAAGGAUAGAGCGAGCGCCCAGUUGGUGAGGCGUUUAAGUAAGUAGGGAGAAACGUAGGGAAGUCCGCGUUUUGAGAUCCUGAGAUACGAAUACGAGUGAAAAUAAGUAACGAAGUCCUCGAUUCCCCGCUGCCAAGAAAAGUUGCUAUCAAGGCUAGAGGUGCCCGUACCGCAAACCGACACAGGUAGAUAGGUAGAGAAUACUAAGGCGCGCGAGAUAACUCUUGUUAAGGAACUCGGCAAAAUAAACCCGUAACUUCGGGAGAAGGGUUGCUCUCCAUUGUGAGUACGAGCAGUACAGAGCAAAGGAGAGUCGCAGAGAAAAGGUCCAGGCGACUGUUUAGCAAAAACACAGGUCUUUGCAAAAUCGAAAGAUGAAGUAUAAAGGCUGACGCCUGCCCGGUGCUGGAAGGUUAAGGGGAAGAGUGCAAGCUUUGAACCGAAGCCCCAGUAAACGGCGGCCGUAACUAUAACGGUCCUAAGGGAGCGAAAUUCCUUGUCGGGU
rnacentral:rRNA from 1 species